AAACAGAAUGUAUCUCAGAGCCAUCUGGGAGAUGAGAAGGGAGAAGUCUUGAAGGGGUGAGGCCCUGUCAUCAUCUCUCUACAUGGUGCCUGGACUGAUAACCAUCAAAUGUUUACUAUAGGAAAGGUUUGUGAUGUGUUUCUCAGCUGCAGAUGGGUGUUUGAUGGUCUGCAUGGGGUUUAACUUUACCUCUGGAUCCUCCUGGUGUUUAGCACCAGGACAAGUCAGACAAGAGGUUUUAACUGCAAUUGCACCGAGCUUGUACUGAAAGAGGAAGAGAAGAUCAGGGCAGGACCCCAAAACUCACACCUAUCUUUGCCUUCAGUAGAGUCCCAAAUCCAGUGUAUCUUACGCUUACAAUAGGGUGGAAGAGGUGAAAGAAAAAACAAACUUCUUGAUUUUUAGGUUAUUGUAAGGCUGGGCCUGCUCAGUCCCACCAACACUGGCCACCCCCUCUGGGAUUCCAGCUCACUGGCACCAGAAAUACCUGUUUCCAUGAGAUUUAUGAUACAUUCAAAGGGUUCUUCAAAGCCUUCCAGUGACUUAACCUCACUGUGGUGGAGUCAGUGUUGAUUCAUCUUGAACUACUUCCAAAUCUAGCUGGGAAAUUGUUGCCAGGAGACCACCUUGUGUGAAAACUUCACCCAUUUGAGACCAAGCCAGCAUGGAGUGAGUCUGCCUACCUCCUCAUAGAAGCAAAAAGAAAGGGUCAAAAAAGAAAGGUCUUCUUUUAGCCAGAUAUUGGCAAUGAAAUGAGGCAUACUAGAGAUUUCUCACUCUUCAAGAGCACUGUUUUUGGCAAGAGACUUUGUCAACAAGAGAUGGACCUCAAUUCACAGUUCUUGUGCAUCUUCAAGGCACAGACAACAGAGGGGCCAGCUAAUCCUUCCAACCCAGUCAAAAAGAAUGAGAGAAGUGGUGAGGAAGAGGAGCAGGAGGCAGUAAGGAGCUCUCUUGCUCCUCGAGAUGCUCUUGACAGGAGGAAACAGUACAAGCCAGCAUGUAUUUGUGGAUAAACGAACUUCUUCCUGCUUCAGUUUCUUGUCUGUCGUUGACCUUCUUGCACUAGCCAAAAGCUGUGCUACUGACACAACACAUUGUUCGUUCCAUCCUCCCGUGCUUAAGAGCAACCACCCCUAUAUUUAGCACUCACCAUUUUGCAUUGUGCUGCAACAAACACACGCCCUGCCAGGCACUCUGCGGGUGCUCCAAGGCGGGGCUUGAUGAUUUUAGGUGGACAUUCCCUAUUUUUAGCUAUCAGAUGGCGUGUGGAUGUGUUGGUUCAUCGUAAUUCUUUCCAUGUGACAGAUCUGGAUGUAGUUUAUAGCUCUCCAUGAUGCAAAAACCCAUGCAUUUCCCCCCCAUGCGGCAGGUGGAUGGAGGAGGGGAGAAGGGCUGAGAGCUGUGCUCUGUGUGAAAGCUGGGUAAGGAAGGGACAAGAUGAAUCCCCCCAGGAAGUGUUGUUUUGGAGAGAGUCUAAGGGAAUAUCUCAAUGCUUGAGUCUUGUGCUGCUAGAGCAUUUGUCUUCUUAUGGGAUCAUUUGUAUUACUAGGACAUAUCUUAUGGGAUGGUUGUUUCAUGGCCAGUAAUAAGUUGUUCAUCAAGAGUGAAGCCAUCUUGUCACUAUGGUCUUUCUGGUCUCUUUUACUGGCAUCUAUUAAAAAAUAAAAAUAAAAAAGAGAUGGCA
rnacentral:lncRNA from 1 species